AGGACGAACGCUGGCGGCGUGCUUAACACAUGCAAGUCGAGCGGAAAGGCCCUUCGGGGUACUCGAGCGGCGAACGGGUGAGUAACACGUGAGUAAUCUGCCCAUCGCUUCAGGAUAGCCAUCGGAAACGGUGAUUAAUACUGGAUAUGACAUUCCUUCGCAUGUUGGGGUGUGGAAAGUUUUUUCGGCGUGGAUGUGCUCGCGGCCUAUCAGCUUGUUGGUGGGGUAAGUAGGCCGUACCAAGGACUUUGUACGGGUAGGCCGGCCUGAGAGGGUGGACCGGCCGACACUGGGACGUGAGACACGGCCCACGACGUCCUACGGGAAGGCAGCCAGUGGGAAGUAUUGGACAAA
rnacentral:rRNA from 1 species